rnacentral:rRNA from 1 species
GAUUCUGGCUCAGGAUGAACGCUAGCGGCAGGCUUAACACAUGCAAGUCGAGGGGCAGCGCGAGGUAGCAAUACUUGGCGGCGACCGGCGGAAGGGUGCGUAACGCGUGAGCAACAUGCCCGUAUGAGGGGGAUAAGCGAUGGAAACGUCGUCUAAUACCCCGUAACACAGGAGAUCGCAUGAUCACCUGUUGAAAGAUUUAUCGCAUACGGAUUGGCUCGCGUGACAUUAGCUAGUCGGCGGGGUAACGGCCCACCGAGGCGACGAUGUCUAGGGGUUCUGAGAGGAAGGUCCCCCACACUGGAACUGAGACACGGUCCAGACUCCUACGGGAGGCAGCAGUGAGGAAUAUUGGUCAAUGGGCGGAAGCCUGAACCAGCCAUGCCGCGUGAAGGAAUAAGGCCCUAUGGGUCGUAAACUUCUUUUGACGGGGAGCAAUAAGGGUCACGUGUGGCCCGAUGAGAGUACUCGUCGAAUAAGCAUCGGCUAACUCCGUGCCAGCCGCCGC